rnacentral:rRNA from 1 species
CCCAGACUCCUACGGGAGGCAGCAGUGAGGAAUAUUGGUCAAUGGUCGGGAGACUGAACCAGCCAAGCCGCGUGAGGGAUGAAGGUACAGAGUAUCGUAAACCUCUUUUGUCAGGGAACAAAGGCGGGGACGUGUCCCCGGAUGAGUGUACCUGAAGAAAAAGCAUCGGCUAACUCCGUGCCAGCAGCCGCGGUAAUACGGAGGAUGCGAGCGUUAUCCGGAUUUAUUGGGUUUAAAGGGUGCGCAGGCGGUCUGUUAAAGCGGGGGCAAAAGCCCGGGCCUCCCCCCCGGCCCGCCGUUGAAACUGGCAGUCUCGAGUUGGAGAGAAGUAUGCAGAAUGCGCGGUGUAGCGGUGAAAUGCAUAGAUAUCGCGCAGAACUCCGAUUGCGAAGGCAGCAUACCGGCUCCACACUGACGCUGAGGCACGAAAGCGUGGGUAUCGAACAGGAUUAGAUACCCGCGUACAU